rnacentral:rRNA from 1 species
GAUGAACGCUAGCGACAGGCUUAACACAUGCAAGUCGAGGGGCAUCGGGGAUGUAGCAAUACAUUUGCCGGCGACCGGCGCACGGGUGAGUAACGCGUAUGCAACCUGCCUAUCAGAGGAGAAUAACCCGGCGAAAGUCGGACUAAUACUCCAUAAAACAGGGGCCCCGCAUGGGGAUAUUUGUUAAAGAUUAAUCGCUGAUAGAUGGGCAUGCGUUCCAUUAGUUAGUUGG